rnacentral:tRNA from 1 species
GAGGGUAUAACUCAGUGGUAGAGUGCGUGCUUAGCACACACAAGGUCCUGGGUUCAAGCUCUGGUACCUCCA